AGAGUUUGAUCCUGGCUCAGAUUGAACGCUGUUGGCAGGCCUAACACAUGCAAGUCGAACGGUAACAGGAAGCAGCUUGCUGCUUCGCUGACGAGUGGCGGACGGGUGAGUAAUGUCUGGGAAACUGCCUGAUGGAGGGGGAUAACUACUGGAAACGGUAGCUAAUACCGCAUAACGUCGCAAGACCAAAGAGGGGGACCUUCGGGCCUCUUGCCAUCGGAUGUGCCCAGAUGGGAUUAGCUAGUAGGUGGGGUAACGGCUCACCUAGGCGACGAUCCCUAGCUGGUCUGAGAGGAUGACCAGCCACACUGGAACUGAGACACGGUCCAGACUCCUACGGGAGGCAGCAGUGGGGAAUAUUGCACAAUGGGCGCAAGCCUGAUGCAGCCAUGCCGCGUGUAUGAAGAAGGCCUUCGGGUUGUAAAGUACUUUCAGCGGGGAGGAAGGGAGUAAAGUUAAUACCUUUGCUCAUUGACGUUACCCGCAGAAGAAGCACCGGCUAACUCCGUGCCAGCAGCCGCGGUAAUACGGAGGGUGCAAGCGUUAAUCGGAAUUACUGGGCGUAAAGCGCACGCAGGCGGUCUGUUAAGUCAGAUGUGAAAUCCCCGGGCUCAACCUGGGAACUGCAUCUGAUACUGGCAAGCUUGAGUCUCGUAGAGGGGGGUAGAAUUCCAGGUGUAGCGGUGAAAUGCGUAGAGAUCUGGAGGAAUACCGGUGGCGAAGGCGGCCCCCUGGACGAAGACUGACGCUCAGGUGCGAAAGCGUGGGGAGCAAACAGGAUUAGAUACCCUGGUAGUCCACGCCGUAAACGAUGUCGACUUGGAGGUUGUGCCCUUGAGGCGUGGCUUCCGGAGCUAACGCGUUAAGUCGACCGCCUGGGGAGUACGGCCGCAAGGUUAAAACUCAAAUGAAUUGACGGGGGCCCGCACAAGCGGUGGAGCAUGUGGUUUAAUUCGAUGCAACGCGAAGAACCUUACCUGGUCUUGACAUCCACGGAAGUUUUCAGAGAUGAGAAUGUGCCUUCGGGAACCGUGAGACAGGUGCUGCAUGGCUGUCGUCAGCUCGUGUUGUGAAAUGUUGGGUUAAGUCCCGCAACGAGCGCAACCCUUAUCCUUUGUUGCCAGCGGUCCGGCCGGGAACUCAAAGGAGACUGCCAGUGAUAAACUGGAGGAAGGUGGGGAUGACGCCAAGUCAUCAUGGCCCUUACGACCAGGGCUACACACGUGCUACAAUGGCGCAUACAAAGAGAAGCGACCUCGCGAGAGCAAGCGGACCUCAUAAAGUGCGUCGUAGUCCGGAUUGGAGUCUGCAACUCGACUCCAUGAAGUCGGAAUCGCUAGUAAUCGUGGAUCAGAAUGCCACGGUGAAUACGUUCCUGGGCCUUGCACACACCGCCCGUCA
rnacentral:rRNA from 1 species